rnacentral:rRNA from 1 species
UGGGGGAUAUUGCACAAUGGGCGAAAGCCUGAUGCAGCGACGCCGCGUGGGGGAUGAAGGCCUUCGGGUUGUAAACUUCUUUUGCUCUGAACAAGGCAUGCUAAUGGGUGUGUUGAGUGUAGGGGUUGAUUAGCGUCGGCUAACUACGUGCCAGCAGCCGCGGUAAUACGUAGGGCGCGAGCGUUGUCCGGAAUUAUUGGGCGUAAAGGGCUUGUAGGUGGCUGGUUGCGUCUGUCGUGAAAGCACAUGGCUUAACUGUGGGUAUGCGGUGGAUACGGGCUGGCUUAAGUGCAGUAGGGGAGGAUGGAAUUCCUGGUGUAGCCGAGGAAUGCGCAGAUAUCAAGAGGCAUACCGGUGGCGGAAGAGGGUCUGUGGGCUGUUAAUGAAACUGGGGAGAGAAAGCAUGGGGGGCGAACAGG